CAAGAGGCGAACCAGGGGAACUGAAACAUCUAAGUACCCUGAGGAAAAGAAAUCAACCGAGAUUCCCUUAGUAGUGGCGAGCGAACGGGGAUUAGCCCUUAAGCUUCAUUGAUUUUAGCGGAACGCUCUGGAAAGUGCGGCCAUAGUGGGUGAUAGCCCCGUACGCGAAAGGAUCUUUGAAGUGAAAUCGAGUAGGACGGAGCACGAGAAACUUUGUCUGAACAUGGGGGGACCAUCCUCCAAGGCUAAAUACUACUGACUGACCGAUAGUGAACCAGUACCGUGAGGGAAAGGCGAAAAGAACCCCGGAGAGGGGAGUGAAAUAGAACCUGAAACCGUAUGCGUACAAGCAGUGGGAGCCUACUUGUUAGGUGACUGCGUACCUUUUGUAUAAUGGGUCAGCGACUUAUAUUCAGUGGCAAGCUUAACCGUAUAGGGUAGGCGUAGCGAAAGCGAGUCUUAAUAGGGCGUUUAGUCGCUGGGUAUAGACCCGAAACCGGGCGAUCUAUCCAUGAGCAGGUUGAAGGUUAGGUAACACUGACUGGAGGACCGAACCCACUCCCGUUGAAAAGGUAGGGGAUGACUUGUGGAUCGGAGUGAAAGGCUAAUCAAGCUCGGAGAUAGCUGGUUCUCCUCGAAAGCUAUUUAGGUAGCGCCUCAUGUAUCACUCUGGGGGGUAGAGCACUGUUUCGGCUAGGGGGUCAUCCCGACUUACCAAACCGAUGCAAACUCCGAAUACCCAGAAGUGCCGAGCAUGGGAGACACACGGCGGGUGCUAACGUCCGUCGUGAAAAGGGAAACAACCCAGACCGCCAGCUAAGGUCCCAAAGUUGUGGUUAAGUGGUAAACGAUGUGGGAAGGCUUAGACAGCUAGGAGGUUGGCUUAGAAGCAGCCACCCUUUAAAGAAAGCGUAAUAGCUCACUAGUCGAGUCGGCCUGCGCGGAAGAUGUAACGGGGCUCAAACCACACACCGAAGCUGCGGGUGUCACGCAAGUGACGCGGUAGAGGAGCGUUCUGUAAGCCUGUGAAGGUGAGUUGAGAAGCUUGCUGGAGGUAUCAGAAGUGCGA
rnacentral:rRNA from 1 species